rnacentral:rRNA from 1 species
GACGAACGCUGGCGGCGUGCUUAACACAUGCAAGUCGAACGGAAAGGUCCUGCUUUUGUGGGGUGCUCGAGUGGCGAACGGGUGAGUAACACGUGAGUAACCUGCCCUUGACUUUGGGAUAACUUCAGGAAACUGGGGCUAAUACCGGAUAGGAGCUCCUGCUGCAUGGUGGGGGUUGGAAAGUUUCGGCGGUUGGGGAUGGACUCGCGGCUUAUCAGCUUGUUGGUUGGGUAGUGGCUUACCAAGGCUUUGACGGGUAGCCGGCCUGAGAGGGUGACCGGCCACAUUGGGACUGAGAUACGGCCCAGACUGCUACGGGGGGCAGCGGUGGGGAAUAUUGCACAAUGGGCGGAAGCCAGAUGCAGCAACGCCGCGUGCGGGAUGACGGCAUUCGGGUUGUAUACCGCUUGCGCCUGUGACGAAGCGUGAGUGACGGUAAUGGGUAAAGAAGCACCGGCUAACUACGUG